CAGCUCUGUUCUCAAGCUAAGCUGCUCAGCAUGGAAAAUCACACAGAGCUGGUCUAUUGUAUAGUUCAGCUAGCCCGUUCUUCUCCUGAUGAUCUGAUAGCCUUUCUGCACUCUCAGCUGAAGAUUGAGAAUGAGGCUGUUCGUGUGGCAUCUCUGAAUCUGCUCAGAGCUAUUGUUGGUGCUGACUUGCCCGAGACAAGACUGAAAAAGUUGCUGAUUGUGAAGGCAGUGAAAUCCACUUUCAGUG